rnacentral:rRNA from 1 species
UACGGGGGGGGCAAGCGUUGUUCGGAAUUACUGGGCGUAAAGGGCUUGUAGGUGGCCAACUAAGUCAGACGUGAAAUCCCUCAGCUUAACUGGGGAACUGCGUCUGAUACUGGAUGGCUUGAGUUUGGGAGAGGGACGCGGAAUUCCAGGUGUAGCGGUGAAAUGCGUAGAUAUCUGGAGGAACACCGGUGGCGAAGGCGGCAUCCUGGACCGACACUGACGCUGAGGAGCGAAAGCCAGGGGAGCAAACGGG